rnacentral:rRNA from 1 species
GGGUUGUGAGGUUAAGCGACUAAGCGUACACGGUGGAUGCCCUGGCAGUCAGAGGCGAUGAAGGACGUGCUAAUCUGCGAUAAGCGUCGGUAAGGUGAUAUGAACCGUUAUAACCGGCGAUUUCCGAAUGGGGAAACCCAGUGUGAUUCGUCACACUAUCAUUAACUGAAUCCAUAGGUUAAUGAGGCGAACCGGGGGAACUGAAACAUCUAAGUACCCCGAGGAAAAGAAAUCAACCGAGAUUCCCCCAGUAGCGGCGAGCGAACGGGGAGCAGCCCAGAGCCUGAAUCAGUGUGUGUGUUAGUGGAAGCGUCUGGAAAGGCGCGCGAUACAGGGUGACAGCCCCGUACACAAAAAUACACAUAUUGUGAGCUCGAUGAGUAGGGCGGGACACGUGGUAUCCUGUCUGAAUAUGGGGGGACCAUCCUCCAAGGCUAAAUACUCCUGACUGACCGAUAGUGAACCAGUACCGUGAGGGAAAGGCGAAAAGAACCCCGG